GACGCUCAGUGAGGACGCCCGCUUCCUGCUGAUUGCCGCCGGCCGGACCAUCAAGGUGUACAUCGGCCACUCGGAACCCGUGCAGGCUGUGGCUUUCUCUCCUGACCAGCAGCAGGUCCUCAGCGCAGGGGACGCCGUCUUCCUCUGGGAUGUCCUGGCCACUACUGAGAGGCAAGUGCCUACUCUCAGCUUUGUCUGCCUAGGCCCCCCAGGCCCUCCUGAAACCCUCUCUCCUCCCUCUCCAGCAACCAAAGCUUCCCCGUGGCCCCCCAAGCCUGUGAGGCAGGCUCGGGCAUAGGACCACUGGAGGACGCAUCGUCCAGGGCCAGCGAGCUCCCCCAGCAGCAGGUCCCCAAGCCAUCUCAGGCAUCUCUACCACGGCUGGGCAUCUGUGCCAGGCCUCCCGAAGGUGGCGAUGGGCACUUGCCUGCCUCCCGCCAGCGGUGGGUGGCUGCGUCUGAAGGCUGUCGUUGGCUACAGUGGGAAUGGGCGGGCCAACAUGGUCUGGAGGCCGGACACAGGCUUCUUUGCCUACACCUGCGGCCG
rnacentral:sRNA from 1 species